rnacentral:lncRNA from 1 species
AAAAAAAAACAUUAAUAAAAUGGAGCACUAAAUUUGGUUACACGCCCCGUAAUUUUUCGAAGUUGGAUCACAGCCACGAAAUAUGCAACUGGAGUAUCGAUUUGAUAAAUCAAGUUAUCAAACGGGCCAUCAAUCUUACAUCACCUAGGCGAAGGAAUAAAUAAGAACAUGUUCUUUAGUCCAUACAAACACACACACACACACAC